AGAGUUUGAUCCUGGCUCAGAUUGUACGCUGGCGGCAUGCCUUACACAUGCAAGUCGAACGGUAACAGGUUAAGCUGACGAGUGGCGAACGGGUGAGUAAUAUAUCGGAACGUGCCCAGUCGUGGGGGAUAACUGCUCGAAAGAGCAGCUAAUACCGCAUACGACCUGAGGGUGAAAGCGGGGGAUCGCAAGACCUCGCGCGAUUGGAGCGGCCGAUAUCAGAUUAGGUAGUUGGUGGGGUAAAGGCCUACCAAGCCUACGAUCUGUAGCUGGUCUGAGAGGACGACCAGCCACACUGGGACUGAGACACGGCCCAGACUCCUACGGGAGGCAGCAGUGGGGAAUUUUGGACAAUGGACGCAAGUCUGAUCCAGCCAUGCCGCGUGCGGGAAGAAGGCCUUCGGGUUGUAAACCGCUUUUGUCAGGGAAGAAAAGGUUCUGGUUAAUACCUGGGACUCAUGACGGUACCUGAAGAAUAAGCACCGGCUAACUACGUGCCAGCAGCCGCGGUAAUACGUAGGGUGCAAGCGUUAAUCGGAAUUACUGGGCGUAAAGCGUGCGCAGGCGGUUAUGCAAGACAGAGGUGAAAUCCCCGGGCUCAACCUGGGAACUGCCUUUGUGACUGCAUAGCUAGAGUACGGUAGAGGGGGAUGGAAUUCCGCGUGUAGCAGUGAAAUGCGUAGAUAUGCGGAGGAACACCGAUGGCGAAGGCAAUCCCCUGGACCUGUACUGACGCUCAUGCACGAAAGCGUGGGUAGCAAACAGGAUUAGAUACCCUGGUAGUCCACGCCCUAAACGAUGUCAACUAGGUGUUGGGUGGGUAAAACCAUUUAGUACCGUAGCUAACGCGUGAAGUUGACCGCCUGGGGAGUACGGCCGCAAGGUUAAAACUCAAAGGAAUUGACGGGGACCCGCACAAGCGGUGGAUGAUGUGGAUUAAUUCGAUGCAACGCGAAAAACCUUACCUACCCUUGACAUGUCCGGAAGGCCGAAGAGAUUUGGUUGUGCCCGAAAGGGAACCGGAACACAGGUGCUGCAUGGCUGUCGUCAGCUCGUGUCGUGAGAUGUUGGGUUAAGUCCCGCAACGAGCGCAACCCUUGUCGUUAAUUGCCAUCAUUUGGUUGGGCACUUUAACGAGACUGCCGGUGACAAACCGGAGGAAGGUGGGGAUGACGUCAAGUCCUCAUGGCCCUUAUGGGUAGGGCUUCACACGUCAUACAAUGGCAGGUACAGAGGGAAGCCAACGCGCGAGCGGGAGCCAAUCCCAGAAAGCUUGUCGUAGUCCGGAUCGGAGUCUGCAACUCGACUCUGUGAAGUUGGAAUCGCUAGUAAUCGCAGAUCAGCAUUGCUGCGGUGAAUACGUUCCCGGGUCUUGUACACACCGCCCGUCACACCAUGGGAGUUUACUGCACCAGAAGCAGGUAGCCUAACCGCAAGGAUGGCGCCUACCACGGUGUGGUCGAUGACUGGGGUGAAGUCGUAACAAGGUAACCGUA
rnacentral:rRNA from 1 species